rnacentral:tRNA from 1 species
GGGGAUAUAGCUCAGUGGUAGAACACUUGCCUCACAGUCUAGAAGACCUGGGUUCAAUCCCCAGCAGCACCA